rnacentral:rRNA from 1 species
GAUGAACGCUGGCGGCGUGCCUAAUACAUGCAAGUCGAACGAAACUUCUUUAUCACCGAGUGCUUGCACUCACCGAUAAAGAGUUGAGUGGCGAACGGGUGAGUAACACGUGGGCAACCUGCCCAAAAGAGGGGGAUAACACUUGGAAACGGGUGCUAAUACCGCAUAACCAUAGUUACCGCAUGGUAACUAUGUAAAAGGUGGCUAUACUACCGCUUUUGGAUGGGCCCGCGGCGCAUUAGCUAGUUGGUAGGGUAAAGGCUUACCAAGGCAAUGAUGCGUAGCCGAAUUGAGAGGUUGAUCGGCCACAUUGGGACUGAGACACGGCCCAAACUCCUACGGGAGGCAGCAGUAGGGAAUCUUCCACAAUGGGCGAAAGCCUGAUGGAGCAACGCCGCGUGGGUGAAGAAGGUCUUCGGAUCGUAAAACCCUGUUGUUAGAGAAGAAAGUGCGUGAGAGUAACUGUUCACGUUUCGACGGUAUCUAACCAGAAAGCCACGGCUAACUACGUG